rnacentral:rRNA from 1 species
GACAGAGGGGGCGAGCGGUGUCCGGAGUCACUGGGCGUAAAGCGCGCGCAGGCGGCAGACUUAGUGUCGUGUGGAAGCUCCCGGCUCAACCGGGGGAGGCCAUGGCAAACUGGGUCGCUCGAGCUGCGGAGAGGCCCCUCGAAUUGCCGGUGUAGCGGUGAAAUGCGUAGAGAUCGGCAGGAAGACCAGGGGGGAAGCCAGGGGGCUGGCCGCAGGCUGACGCUGAGGCGCGACAGCGUGGGGAGAAAACCGG